UCCAAGCCCAGGAUUUAUUUAUUUAUUUAUUAAAAGAUUUAUUUAUUUAUUAUGUAUACAAUGUUUUGUCUACAUGUAUGCCUGCUCCAGAAGAGGGCACCAGAUCUCAUUAUAGAUGGUGGUGAGCCACCAUGUGGUUGCUGGGAAUUGAACUCAGGUCCUCUGGAAGAACAGUCAGUGCUCUUAACCUCUGAGCCAUCUCUCCAGCCCAGAUUUAUUUAUUUUUAAACUCCAUUUUCUACUUGAAAUCAUUCUAAUUUCUCUUUCUCAUCAAGUUUUCAUUAGCAUGUGUUAUGCAUAUUAACAGGUUUCAUUAUGACAUUUUCAUACAAAUAUACAAAGAUAUAUACAAAAACUUGCAUACAGACAUAUAAUGCAUUUUGAUCAUAAUUUCCCCAGCGCACCCCCAAUGGUCCCAUCCUCUUCCUAGCUAGUCCUUCUACUUUCAUGUUUGUUUAUUUAUUUAUUUAUUUAUUUAUUCUGGCCAACCAAUGCAUUUAAGUAGGAUGGCUCACAGAAGCAUGGACACCGGACCUGUGGCUACGCCAGUGAGGACCCUGCAACUGUUAAUUGCCUGUAGAUCCUCAGGGAGGGGCAGGGCCUUGUGAACUCCCACCCCUUCAAAAGCAGGAUUUCCCAACCAAUUACAAAAGUGUCAUAUGUGUUUGUGUGUGUCCACGUGUGGCUGGCCAGUAAGCGAUAGGGCUCCUCUGCCUCUGUCGUGCCAGCACCGGGAUGAUAAGCCUGUACCACACUGCCCAGCUUUUACAGGGGUGUUGGAGGUGGAAUUCAUGUCCUCAUGUAUGCACAAGCAAGUCUAUAGACUGACCCAUCUUCCUGGACCGGAGUCUUGACUUUUUUUUUUUUUUUGAAGUGGAGGGUGCCGUUGAGACAGGGUUUCUCUUUUUAGCCCUGGCUGUACUAGAAUUUGCUCUGUAGAUCAGUCUGGCCUUGAACUGAGAAAUCCUCCUGCCUCUGCCCUGAUUGCUUAAAGCUGUGUGCCACCACAGCCUGCCUUAUGGUCUUGACCACUUUUAAAAAUGAUUUUUCCUGAGGUGGGACUCUCACUGUGUAGAGCAGCCUGGCCUUGAAUUCCUCAGCUUUCUGUCCUAGCUUCGUGUGUGCUGGGUCAGUUAUGGCCACUGUGCCAGGCGUGUGCUUCAAAGGCACACUCACUUCUCAGCGUGAGACCAUCUGUAUCCCUUUCCUUCUUCUCUCAAGUGUCUGUCUGUAUCAGUUACCAUGCCGGGAGGGGUUAUUCGGCUUAGGGGUUCUACCUGUCUUGGCAGGGGAGCGGCAGCGAGCAGCUGACGUGGCAUCUGGGGCAGAAGCUGGAAGCUCGUGUCUUGAACUGCAAGCAGGAGUUAGAGAGCUCACGGGGACUGGUGCCAGUCUGAACUCUCAAAGCCCCCCCCCUCCCCCGGUGGCAUACUCACCCUAGCACGGUCCACCCCUCCCCAGCUUUAUCCAACAGCACCACGACUGGAGGAAGCGAACACUCAGAUGCCUAGGGGGAGACUCUUUCAAGUCACUACGGCAUCUCAUUUUGGUCCUUCUCGCAGUUUGCUCUCUGUUUUAGAAUGCCUAUGUCUCCCUUGUUGUGGCGCCCGUGUCCUUUUCCUCAGCACCUCUCUUUGUCCUCUUGCUGCCCUUUCUCUUCAGCUCACACCCAGUGUAACAGCACAGGUGCGCUGGGGAGUGGAAAACCUUCAAGGCUGUCCGUCCUCACUAAUCCCUUGGCUGAGGGGAGCCCCACCUGGAUGUUUAAGAUGGAUCUUGCUGCGAAGUGAAGACUGGCCUUGAAUUCAUGAUCUCCUUGUCUCAGCCUUCUGAGUGCUAAUGAAUUUACAAGAAGAUGAGCACACCCAAGGAUCUGGGAGCAGUAGGAAACUGAUUUUGUUUGAACUUUGUAGUGUAGAGAUGAAACUGAGGUCUAUGCACAAUAGGCAAGUACUUCAUCCCUGUGCCAUGACCAUAGCCCCUCACUGGGGGACUCUAGGCAGGGGCUCUACCCUGAGCCACACCCCAGCCCCUCACUGGGGGAUUCUAGGCAGGGGCUCUACCCCUGAGCCACACCCCAGCCCCUCACUGGGGGAUUCUAGGCAGGGGCUCUACCACUGAGCCAUGUCCCCAGUCCCUUACUGGGGAAGUCUAGGCAGGGGCUCUACUGCUGAGCCACACCCCAGCCCCUCACUGGGGGACUCUAGGCAGGGGCUCUACCACUGAGCCAUGUCCCCAGUCCCUCACUGGGGGAUUCUAGGCAGGGGCUCCACCACUGAGCCACACCCCAGCCCCUCACUGGGGGGUUCUAGGCAGGGGCUCUACCACUGAGCCACACCCCAGCCCCUUCCUGGGGGAUUCUAGGCAGGGGCUCUACCACUGAGCCAUGUCCCCAGUCCCUCACUGGGGGAUUCUAGGCAGGGGCUCCACCACUGAGCCACACCCCAGCCCCUCACUGGGGGGUUCUAGGCAGGGGCUCUACCACUGAGCCACACCCCAGCCCCUUCCUGGGGGAUUCUAGGCAGGGGCUCUACCACUGAGCCUCCCCCAGCCCCUCACUGGGGAAUUCUAGGCAGGGGCUCUACCCCUGAGCCUCCCCCAGCCCCUCACUGGGGGAUUCUAGGCAGGGGCUCUACCCCUGAGCCACACCCCAGCCCCUCACUGGGGGAUUCUAGGCAGGGGCUCUACCACUGAGCCAUGUCCCCAGUCCCUUACUGGGGGAUUCUAGGCAGGGCUCUAUCUAUCACUGAGCCAUGUCCCCAGUCCCUCACUGGGGGAUUCUAGGCAGGGGCUCUGCCUUCCUAAUUAUAAACUUAUGGAAAAUAAAAUGGUCGAAACUAAAAAA